rnacentral:tRNA from 1 species
CAGAAAAUAGUUUAAAUAAAAUAUUAAUUUUGGAGAUUAAUGAUAAAGAAGUGUCUUUUUUUCUGA